AUAUAAACUAGGGUUUACGAUUUACUUGAUUUCUCCCAAAUAAUCCCCGGAGAACAAGGGCUUCUAAUCACCACUACCGGAGAUCAGAGA